GGCAAUGUUAAAUUGUCUACGUUAAAUUUCAAUGGUACAGUAUACCCUGGAUACUCGCAAUUAACCUAAUUUAUUCGCUCAAUAAGUGCCGUGUCAAAAAUAGCACAAAGACAUCUGUUGUGCUAAAUGAAGAUAAUCAGAUUGUCACCGGUGCUACAUCUCACAGAUCCACACAUUUAAACAAACGUUCCAACUUGUCAGAAAUUAAACAUUUCAUUUUCAUUUGAAUAAAGUUUGUUCUGUAUUAAAAAUGAAGCUGCUUGGUUUGGUGACAUUUGGUGUAGUUUUGGCGAUGGUGGCAAGUGCUCCCGCAGCAGAGGGUGAUUGUAAGGAAAUGCGAGGGACAAAGAACAUUUAUAAUGAGGUUGGUGAACUGAGUGGGUCUGAGGAAAUCAGCCACUGCUGUCCUGCUGGGUAUACUUUCAGAAUUUUCUGUCCAAGCAACUCAGAAUUUUGCUGGUG